rnacentral:lncRNA from 1 species
AAAAGUUUCUGAGAAGGGAGAGAAAUGGAGGGAAGUGAGACAUGACUAAGAUGUAGGUAAAAAGGAAUAAAGGUUUUCCCUGCUCAAAACUCUCAUGAAGAAAUUAAUGGAGAAGGAAAGCACAAAGCAUGCUUGAAAGAAAGCAAGAGUCUUCUUAUAAGUAUCACCUCCCAUGGAGUGAUAAGAAGUCAAACUCAUCCAUCAUGUCAGUGGGAAGAGAAGUGAAAGGAGGAGGAUGACUGGAGUUUCACAGCUGCUUUAAUACAACUGGUUUCACUUAGAGAAGAUGACAUGUUGAAAUGUGAUGAGUAAAGAUGUGCAGAAUGCUUCCCCAGUAAUUGGAAUUCAAGCAACAAUAACACUGGGCAUUGUUGGAUCCUUUACAACUUUAAGAAAAAGGUCUCCUUCCUUCAUUUUGGAAAAAAGCGCACAUAUUAUAGAACAUCAUGACUUUAUUCAACAUUAAAAAGAGAAAUUAAAAAUUA